GGAACCAGAGGGUAAAGUGCUUUACCUGAGGCUGCCAGAAAGCUGGGCCAGGAUCUCAGCCCAAGCAUUUCAUGCUAGGGAUCAUGUUUCUCACCAUUGUGCCAUCUCUGAGAAAGGAAUUCCAGAAGAAUGGAAUACAGAAAAGCAAAGGGAGAAAAUUACCAAGGAAAUAAUAGAAGACAGUUUCUCAAGACUCAAGAAUGACAUAGAUUUUUAAUUUGAAAGAGGACCAUUGAGAGCCAUGUGGAAUGAAGGGAGACAUCUAGACACAGCAACAAGGGUAGAGGACCACUCACUUGUCAAAUUUGUUUGUACCUAGAAGUGAGCAGAUGAACACCUCGGGGCAUCCCUUAGGGAAUGUGGGAGCAGAUGAAUAAAUUCCCAAGCUGAUCCUCAGAAUUUAAAAUUCCGUGGAAAUGGCUCAUGUCACAAGACUUCUGUGUGGUGCUGGCCAGCACCAGGAAGGAGAGCAGCCCAGGAAAGGAAAACCAAACCAAUGUGGCUGCAUGUUUUCACGCCUUUGAAAAGGUUUGGGUUUGGCUCAAAUGAAGAAAAAGCACUUGGGGUUUUUAUUUUGUGCCAGUUUUUUCAAAUACCAUUUACCUGACUCAUGAAGCUUUGAACAUCAGGAAGAAACAAGGGAGUGAAUAAAUUUUCAAUAUUCUUGAGGUUCAAACAUACUUGGAACAAGACUCCUUGCUGGGAGAAAGAACAGAAUACCGUUGGAGCAAGAUGUAUUCAUCCCCACCUUGCUGGGGGUCACAGUGACAAUGCAAUUUGUUUAUCAGUCAACUCAUUAUGUACCAGAAAUAGAGGUGAGAUCAAGGUAUACAAGACUUAGUUUUUCCCUUUAGAUAGAUCACAUGAGUAACAGGGACUAACCUGAAUUAUC